AAUGGGGGCAACCCUGAUCCAGCCACGCCGCGUGCGGGAAGAAGGCCUUCGGGUUGUAAACCGCUUUUGUCAGGGAAGAAAUCCUCUGGGUUAACACCUCGGGGGGAUGACGGUACCUGGAGAAUAAGCACCGGCUAACUACGUGCCAGCAGCCGCGGUAAUACGUAGGGUGCAAGCGUUAAUCGGAAUUACUGGGCGUAAAGCGUGCGCAGGCGGUUGUGCAAGACAGAUGUGAAAUCCCCGGGCUUAACCUGGGAACUGCACUUGUGACUGCACGGCUGGAGUGCGGCAGAGGGGGAUGGAAUUCCGCGUGUAGCAGUGAAAUGCGUAGAUAUGCGGAGGAACACCGAUGGCGAAGGCAAUCCCCUGGGCCUGCACUGACGCUCAUGCACGAAAGCGUGGGGAGCAAA
rnacentral:rRNA from 1 species